rnacentral:rRNA from 1 species
AUUGAACGCUGGCGGCAGGCCUAACACAUGCAAGUCGAGCGGAUGAAGGGAGCUUGCUCCUGGAUUCAGCGGCGGACGGGUGAGUAAUGCCUAGGAAUCUGCCUGGUAGUGGGAGAUAACGUCCGGAAACGGGCGCUAAUACCGCAUACGUCCUGAGGGAGAAAGUGGGGGAUCUUCGGACCUCACGCUAUCAGAUGAGCCUAGGUCGGAUUAGCUAGUUGGUGGGGUAAAGGCCUACCAAGGCGACGAUCCGUAACUGGUCUGAGAGGAUGAUCAGUCACACUGGAACUGAGACACGGUCCAGACUCCUACGGGAGGCAGCAGUGGGGAAUAUUGGACAAUGGGCGAAAGCCUGAUCCAGCCAUGCCGCGUGUAUGAAGAAGGUCUUCGGAUUGUAAAGCACUUUAAGUUGGGAGGAAGGGCAGUAAGUUAAUACCUUGCUGUUUUGACGUUACCAACAGAAUAAGCACCGGCUAACUUCGUG